UUAGAAAAUUAUUUAAACUAGCCAAGGCCUUUUUUUUUUCUUGUGUUGGCCGAAUUCCUUAGCUUCAAGAGAGAGAGAGAGUGAGCUCCAUAAACUUGCUUUCUUACCCUAGCAAAUCAAGAACAACAAUCAAAAGAGAAAGAUUUGAGUUAGUGAGAGAGUUCCUACAACUCUUAGUGCUUGAUCCAAGCUUGAAGACUUACUUUGGUGGAGUGAUUUUGGUGGUUCAAGCCCAUCAUAAGAGAGGUUUGGGAAACGAAGGUGACCGUAACUAAGACGUUUGACAUCGAUCGCUACUUUUGAUUGACAGAUUGGGGAUGGACUAACGGUCGAGAGCUUUCUUAGCUUUGUUUUGCUUGAACUUGUAACCUUUUGUUAAGAUGACUUUACCUUUUUCUUUUGUAAGCUUGAAUUUAUAAGUUUGACUUGUGUUAUGUAAUUGUAGUAUGGAAUAGUAAGUGUGACUUUUAGCUUGCCGUAUUAAGUUUGGAAAGUUGAUUGACGGUUAUAUGUUAUUAGGGUUGUACGAUUUAAUUUGAAGUUAUUUUCCCCAGUUAUUUUGAGU